rnacentral:rRNA from 1 species
ACAGGUUGGCAAGCGGCGCACGGGUGAGUAAUACAUGUAAAUAUACCUAAAAGUGGGGAAUAACGUACGGAAACGUACGCUAAUACCACAUAAUUAUUACGAGAUAAAGCAGGGGCUUGAAAAAAAAAUCAACCUUGCGCUUUUAGAAAAUUACAUGCCGGAUUAGCUAGUUGGUAGAGUAAAAGCCUACCAAGGUAACGAUCCGUAGCUGGUCUGAGAGGAUGAUCAGCCACACUGGGACUGAGAAAAGGCCCAGACUCCUACGGGAGGCAGCAGUGGGGAAUAUUGGACAAUGGGGGUAACCCUGAUCCAGUCAUGCCGCGUGUGUGAAGAAGGCCUUUGGGUUGUAAAGCACUUUCAGCGAAGAAGAAAAGUUAUAAAAUAAAAAGUUAUAACUAUGACGGUACUCGCAGAAGAAGCACCGGCUAACUCCGUGCCAGCAGCCGCGGUAAGACGGAGGGUGCAAGCGUUAAUCAGAAUUACUGGGCGUAAAGGGCAUGUAGGUGGUUUGUUAAGCUUUAUGUGAAAGCCCUAUGCUUAACAUAGGAACGGAAUAAAGAACUGACAAACUAGAGUGCAGAAGAGGAAGGUAGAAUUCCCGGUGUAGCGGUGAAAUGCGUGGAUAUCUGGAGGAAUACCAGUUGCGAAGGCGACCUUCUGGCUGACACUGACACUGAGAUGCGAAAGCGUGGGGAGCAAACAGGAUUAGAUACCCUGGUAGUCCACGCUGUAAACGAUAUCAACUAGCCGUUGGAUUCUUAAAGAAUUUUGUGGCGUAGCUAACGCGAUAAGUUGAUCGCCUGGGGAGUACGGUCGCAAGGCUAAAACUCAAAUGAAUUGACGGGGGCCCGCACAAGCGGUGGAGCAUGUGGUUUAAUUCGAUGCAACGCGCAAAACCUUACCUACUCUUGACAUCCAAAGUACUUUCCAGAGAUGGAAGGGUGCCUUAGGGAACUUUGAGACGGGUGCUGCAUGGCUGUCGUCAGCUCGUGUUGUGAAAUGUUGGGUUAAGUCCCGUAGCGAGCGCAACCCUUGUCCUUAGUUGCCA